rfam:Leclercia adecarboxylata strain I1 Leclercia_S84_R1__paired__contig_6, whole genome shotgun sequence.
UCUGGCGGCUGUAGCGCGGUGGUCCCACCUGACCCCAUGCCGAACUCAGAAGUGAAACGCCGUAGCGCCGAUGGUAGUGUGGGGUCUCCCCAUGCGAGAGUAGGGAACUGCCAGAC